rnacentral:rRNA from 1 species
GGGGGUUGAUGAUUUAUAUUGGAGNUUACCCGGCCGGGUACUGUGUUUGAGUUAUCAACUGGACGUGAACCCCUGCCUGUAGACAUUUGGAUUAUCCUCGGGAACCGGGAUAAUUCCGGUAUGACAGUCACAUAGACACAGGUCCUGGUGAUCAAUCUUCCGGUUGGUCUAAGAUUGGACUCGCGUCCCAUUAGCUAGUUGGUAAGGUACGGCCUACCAAGGCGACGAUGGGUAGCCGGCCUGAGAGGGUGAACGGCCACAUUGGAACUGAGAAACGGUCCAAACUCCUACGGGAGGCAGCAGUGGGGAAUAUUGCACAAUGGGGGAAACCCUGAUGCAGCGACGCCGCGUGAACGAAGAAGGCUUUCGAGUCGUAAAGUUCUUUUAUAUGGGAAGAUAAUGACGGUACCAUAAGAAAAAGCCCCGGCUAACUACGUGCCAGCAGCCGCGGUAAUACGUAGGGGGCUAGCGUUGUCCGGAAUCACUGGGCGUAAAGGGUUCGCAGGCGGAAAUGCAAGUCAGGUGUAAAAGGCAGUAGCUUAACUACUGUAAGCAUUUGAAACUGCAUAUCUUGAGAAGAGUAGAGGUAAGUGGAAUUUUUAGUGUAGCGGUGAAAUGCGUAGAUAUUAAAAAGAAUACCGGUGGCGAAGGCGACUUACUGGGCUCAUUCUGACGCUGAGGAACGAAAGCGUGGGUAGCAAACAGGAUUAGAUACCCUGGUAGUCCACGCUGUAAACGAUGAGUGCUAGGUGACGGCGUAAGUCGGUGCCGCAGUUAACACAAUAAGCACUCCGCCUGGAGAGUACGUGCGCAAGCAUG